rnacentral:tRNA from 1 species
AUAUAAGUAGUUUAGAAUUCGAAAACAUUAAUUUGUGGAGUUAAAAAUAUAAAUUUUUAUCUUAUAUU